GGAAGCUCAUCAGCGGGGCCACGCGCUGAGUGCUCAGUCACUCCCCGGCCCCUGGGAAGGUCUGAGACUGGGGCCUCCCGCGGCCCUAACCGGGCUCUCCCCGAGCGGGGAGGUGAGUUCCCAGAGAGCAGGGCUCCACGCGUGGGCAGACUGGGCAGGAGAGGCCCACGAGUGGGCGGAUGCCUCCCUCGCCGGAGCUUGGAACAGACUCACGGCCGGCUAGAGCGAGUUCAAUGGCUGAGGUUGAAGAUGAAAUGUGUCCAGGAAAGAGCUGGGACUGUAGCACUCUGUGUGCCAGUUCAGAUGUCCUGUGAAAACCCCAAAAUAUCUAUAAAGUGGGCUUGGAUUUGGACAUUCUCAAGAGGAAGGUUUAAAGGCUGAUGGGACUGUACGGGGAUGAUGCUAAGUAGUUCUGAUAUUUCAAGUUGGAUUCCUAGACUGAAGCUGGAUUCACUUGACAACAGAGAAACUAAAAUUGGAAUUCAAGAAGUACAAACAUUUAGUGUUUAGGAGAGAAUAACCUGAUUGACACCACAUUUCUGAUCUGGACCUUCAUGCUGUAAAUCAUGGUUGUACAAUAAAUGAUAAAUGUCUGCAUUCUUUUAUGACCCAGAGAGGCUAAGUAACAAGGAGGGCUCAAUGUGAACACUUGGAUCUCCCUGGGAAAAGGAAACAGAAGAUAUUUUGUGGAUAGACUGGUGGUCUGUGCCUAGCUCAACUAUCAUCAGAGAGGCUUCCUCCAGCAACUGAUGGAAACAGAUGCAGAGACCCACAGCCAUAACAUUAGGCCAAGCUUGGGGAAAUCCUGCUGAGGAGAGGAAGGAUUCUACAAGCCAGAGGGGUCAAGGCCAUCGCAAGAAAACCCACAUAAUUAAUUCACUAACCUGGCUCAUAGGGGCUCACAGCAUCUGAACUGACAGCUAGGGAGCCUGCAUGGGACUGACUUAGGCCCUCUGCAAAUAUGGGACAGUUGUGUAGCACGUGGGACUCCUAACAGUGGGAGCAGGGACUGUCUCUGAUUUGUUUGCUGGCAUUUGGGACCCUCUUCCUUAUACUGGGUCACCUUGCCCGGCCUUAAUACAAAGGGAGGUGCUUAGUCUGACUGCAGUUUGAUAUGCCAUGUUUGUUGAUGUCCACGGGAGGCCUGUGCUUCUCCUGAACAGAAACUGAGCAGAAGUGGA